rnacentral:rRNA from 1 species
GGACGGGUGAGUAACGCGUGGGUAACCUGCCUUAUACAGGGGGAUAACAGUCAGAAAUGGCUGCUAAUACCGCAUAAGCGCACAGAGCUGCAUGGCUCAGUGUGAAAAACUCCGGUGGUAUAAGAUGGACCCGCGUUGGAUUAGCUUGUUGGUGGGGUAACGGCCCACCAAGGCGACGAUCCAUAGCCGGCCUGAGAGGGUGAACGGCCACAUUGGGACUGAGACACGGUCCAAACUCCUACGGGAGGCAGCAUG